AUUGAACGCUGGCGGCAGGCUUAACACAUGCAAGUCGAGCGGAGUGAUGGUGCUUGCACUAUCGCUUAGCGGCGGACGGGUGAGUAAUGCUUAGGAAUCUGCCUAUUAGUGGGGGACAACAUCUCGAAGGGGAUGCUAAUACCGCAUACGUCCUACGGGAGAAAGCAGGGGAUCACUUGUGACCUUGCGCUAAUAGAUGAGCCUAAGUCGGAUUAGCUAGUUGGUGGGGUAAAGGCCUACCAAGGCGACGAUCUGUAGCGGGUCUGAGAGGAUGAUCCGCCACACUGGGACUGAGACACGGCCCAGACUCCUACGGGAGGCAGCAGUGGGGAAUAUUGGACAAUGGGGGGAACCCUGAUCCAGCCAUGCCGCGUGUGUGAAGAAGGCCUUAUGGUUGUAAAGCACUUUAAGCGAGGAGGAGGCUCUUUUGGUUAAUACCCAAGAUGAGUGGACGUUACUCGCAGAAUAAGCACCGGCUAACUCUGUGCCAGCCGCCGCUGUAAUAC
rnacentral:rRNA from 1 species